rnacentral:lncRNA from 1 species
AUGAGUCACUGUAUUUCAAUUUAGCAAAACCUUGGCCAGGGUAAUCCAUCAGAUGGAUUUGAUAUUUUGAAAUACAAUGUGAACAACCUGAUCAGAGUUAAUAGUUGAACUCUGGAGUGUCCUAUGAUCAUUUUGGUCAAGGGGAUGAAUUAUAUGAAAACUAUAUCCAUAUGGGUUCUAAGGAUGUUGUUCUACACAUUCG